UACGAAGGGGGCUAGCGUUGUUCGGAUUUACUGGGCGUAAAGCGCACGUAGGCGGAUCUUUAAGUCAGAGGUGAAAUCCCAAGGCUCAACCUUGGAACUGCCUUUGAUACUGGGGAUCUUGAGUCCGGGAGAGGUGAGUGGAACUGCGAGUGUAGAGGUGAAAUUCGUAGAUAUUGGGAAGAACACCAGUGGCGAAGGCGGCUCACUGGCCCGUAACUGACGCUGAGGUGCGAAAGCGUGGGGAGCAAACAGG
rnacentral:rRNA from 1 species